rnacentral:rRNA from 1 species
AUUGAACGCUGGCGGCAUGCCUUACACAUGCAAGUCGAACGGCAGCACGGGAGCAAUCCUGGUGGCGAGUGGCGAACGGGUGAGUAAAGUAUCGGAACGCGCCCAGUCGUGGGGGAUAACGUAGCGAAAGUUACGCUAAUAACGCAUACGAUCUAUGGAUGAAAGCGGGGAUCGCAAGACCUCGCGCGAUUGGAGCGGCCGAUAUCAGAUUAGGUAGUUGGUGGGGUAAAGGCUCACCAAGCCGACGAUCUGUAGCUGGUCUGAGAGGACGACCAGCCACACUGGGACUGAGACACGGCCCAGACUCAUACGGGAGGCAGCAGUGGGGAAUUUUGGACAAUGGGCGCAAGCCUGAUCCAGCCAUGCGGCGUGCAGGAUGAAGGCCUUCGGGUUGUAAACUGCUUUUGUACGGAACGAAAAGGUUUGGCCUAAUAAGCUGAGCUCAUGACGGUACCGUAAGAAUAAGCACCGGCUAACUACGUGCCAGCCGCCGCGGUAA